CCCUAUGGGUUGUAAACUGCUUUUAUGUGGGGAUAAAGUGCGUGACGUGUCAUGCAUUGCAGGUACCACAUGAAUAAGGACCGGCUAAUUCCGUGCCAGCAGCCGCGGUAAUACGGAAGGUCCGGGCGUUAUCCGGAUUUAUUGGGUUUAAAGGGAGCGUAGGCUGUCUAUUAAGCGUGUUGUGAAAUUUACCGGCUCAACCGGUGGCUUGCAGCGCGAACUGGUCGACUUGAGUAUGCAGGAAGUAGGCGGAAUUCAUGGUGUAGCGGUGAAAUGCUUAGAUAUCAUGACGAACUCCGAUUGCGCAGGCAGCUUACUGUAGCAUAACUGACGCUGAUGCUCGAAAGUGCGGGUAUCAAACAGGAUUAGAUACCCUGGUAGUCCGCACGGUAAACGAUGGAUGCUCGCUAUUCGUCCUAUUUGGAUGAGUGGCCAAGUGAAAACAUUAAGCAUCCCACCUGGGGAGUACGCCGGCAACGGUGAAACUCAAAGGAAUUGACGGGGGCCCGCACAAGCGGAGGAACAUGUGGUUUAAUUCGAUGAUACGCGAGGAACCUUACCCGGGCUUGAACUGCCGGCGAACGAUCCAGAGAUGGUGAGGCCCCUCGGGGCGCCGGUGGAGGUGCUGCAUGGUUGUCGUCAGCUCGUGCCGUGAGGUGUCGGCUUAAGUGCCAUAACGAGCGCAACCCCUCUCCGUAGUUGCCAUCAGGUAGUGCUGGGCACUCUGCGGACACUGCCACCGCAAGGUGCGAGGAAGGUGGGGAUGACGUCAAAUCAGCACGGCCCUUACGUCCGGGGCUACACACGUGUUACAAUGGGGGGCACAGCGAGUCGGCCGCGCGCAAGCUCGGUCCAAUCAAGAAAUCCCCCCUCAGUUCGGACUGGGGUCUGCAACCCGAC
rnacentral:rRNA from 1 species